rnacentral:rRNA from 1 species
AUGCUAGUAUAUAGAGGUGUCACCAAGGUGACUAUUCACAAUGGAUCUUCGGCUUUAUUCUGGAAGGAUGCCUGGAUUGGCGACGUUUUGGCUGAGACCCACCCCAGAGCAUUCUCCUUCACUCAAGAGGAAGAUAUAUCUGUGCGAGCUUUCUUGAACAACACGUCUCUUAGUGAAACGUUUCAUCUACCACUCUCCACCCAAGCCCUUGAUGAGACUCGAGACCUCCAGCAGAAAACCAGGCACGUUGAAUUCCUAAACCCCCUGACUAAUGAUGAAUGGACAUGCAUUUGGGGGACCAACUACUACUCAGCCAACAGGUUCUACACUUUCUACUUCAAGGAUGUCCAUGCACACCGAGCAUAUAGAUGGAUCUGGAAAUCUAAAGCAACAAUGAAGAUUAAAGUUUUUGGCUGGUUGCUACUCUCGGAUAGACUCAACACCAGAGACAUGCUCAAAAGGAGACACUAUAACAUUGGCAAUGACUUUAGUUGCCUCCUAUGCCCCAAUUGCAGCAAUGAAACAGUGGAGCAUCUCUUCUUGGAAUGCAAUUUCAGCCUUCAAUGUUGGGACAAACUUCAGAUCAGGGGCCAUGCAGUACCUUCACGUCUUGAUUGGGUUGAACAAGCCAAAAUCUCUUGGAAGAAACCACUGUUCAUGGAAAUCUUCAUGCUUGCUGCCUGGAGCAUCUGGAAGGAACGUAAUAAUAAGCACUUUCGAGGAGUGCUUCCAUCCCAAGCCUCCUGGCUUGCUAGACUAAAGGAAGAUCUUGCUCUCCUGACUUGUAGAGUAGGAGAUAAACAUAAACCCUUUCUCUCAUCCUUCCUUAACUCCCUCUAA